UGGCUCAGAUUGAACGCUGGCGGCAUGCCUUACACAUGCAAGUCGAACGGCAGCACGGGGGCAACCCUGGUGGCGAGUGGCGAACGGGUGAGUAAUACAUCGGAACGUGUCCUGUAGUGGGGGAUAGCCCGGCGAAAGCCGGAUUAAUACCGCAUACGCUCUGCGGAGGAAAGCGGGGGCUCCUUCGGGACCUCGCGCUACAGGGGCGGCCGAUGGCAGAUUAGCUAGUUGGUGGGGUAAAGGCCUACCAAGGCGACGAUCUGUAGCUGGUCUGAGAGGACGACCAGCCACACUGGGACUGAGACACGGCCCAGACUCCUACGGGAGGCAGCAGUGGGGAAUUUUGGACAAUGGGCGCAAGCCUGAUCCAGCAAUGCCGCGUGUGUGAAGAAGGCCUUCGGGUUGUAAAGCACUUUUGUCCGGAAAGAAAACCUCNGCCCUAAUACGGCGGGGGGAUGACGGUACCGGAAGAAUAAGCACCGGCUAACUACGUGCCAGCAGCCGCGGUAAUACGUAGGGUGCAAGCGUUAAUCGGAAUUACUGGGCGUAAAGCGUGCGCAGGCGGUCCGCUAAGACAGAUGUGAAAUCCCCGGGCUUAACCUGGGAACUGCAUUUGUGACUGGCGGGCUAGAGUAUGGCAGAGGGGGGUAGAAUUCCAC
rnacentral:rRNA from 1 species